GCUUUUAACAAUCUCUUCAGUCGCUUACCCAACCUAAAGAAAAAAAUUAGAUCUCGACCAUAUCCGCGUUAUAAACAAUAAGAAUAGGAUUGGACGGAUGAAUCUGUCUCUCAGAAUUAUAUGCCAAGAUCGUGCGAACGGUUUAAGCUCGGGAUUGGAAGAUCGUUUAUAUUGAUUGGAAGCUGUUGCAAACGAACCCUAACAAAACUAAACUGGGUUCUCAAUCCUAUUGCAUCAACGCAGAUUUAACCUUCACCGCGAUACGGGUUUUUAGUUUGUGCUUUUGGAGGCGGAAAGCAGUAUCGGAACGAUGAAAACGAGGAAAAAUUGGGUGGAGAUGACUUAGUUUAAGGGAAACAAUCACUGUUCUCUCUUUAAACACCUUCUAAAGAAACUGAUAAUUACUGUUGGAGGCAAAACAAUAUCAUGGGAAUAGAAGAAGAAGUGGCUGAAGGUGCUGAAGUUCAAGGUGUUCCUCAUGUUGUGAUGCUGCACACUUGCAAGUGAUGUAGGAGUUUGCUGGGGAUGGUGGUAAAGGUCAGCCAGACGAUUAUAUUUUACAGAGUUCAGGUUACAGAGUUCAGGUAUUGUAUGGUGAUGGUAGUUUGUGAAAAAGAGCUGGUGGAAAAAUUGAUAAUAGGUACUAAAUUAUAAUAAGAUUCUAAACAUGAUUAAUGCUUUAUACAAUUCUAGCAUGUUGCGUUUGGUGAGAAUCAGGUCUGUGAAUAAAUAAUAAUUUUUUUAUCUCCAUUUCUGCCAUUGUGCACAAAGUAUAUGUAUCAAAGUUUUUUUUACCAUACAGACUUUGACACGAGAGCUUUUCAGGAGCAUGUAACACAGGGACUGUCAACUAUUCUGAAGGCUGCUUCAUUUUAAAUUCAGUUGUUCGCAUAGAAAAGACUGAUAUUAUGACAGCCUAUUUUCUCAUGAUACUGAAUUGUUUUUAUCUUAUUGCUUUGUUGGGACAAGAGUUUUCAUGCGUUUUCAAAUUCCUUCAAUAAUGUAUUUUGUCGUCAUUGCUUGGUAGUGUUGCUUUGUCUAGCAAAUUUCUUAAUGAAGAUUAACUGAAUGCAACAGAUAUGUUUUGCCAUCUUCAGGGAUACUCUCAAGAUCCAGUUAAUUGUUUUCUUUUCCUCCUAUAUAGUAUUACAUAAUUACCUAAAUGGCUAAAUGUAUAUAUUACUAUUUUAUUGAUUUUGUUUUAUGUUCUUUACAUAUUGGUCAAGGUCUAACAGUGAUAUAACGUUAGUUUUUCUGAUGCCCGGGUCAUACUAAUGCAAGAUUGUCAUGUUUUUGAUCUAAUAGGUUUCCUCGAUGGAGCUAAAUAUAUAUUUCCAAGCAGCAGUAAGGGAGGUUUGUUUAUGGAGCUACAGAUAGAUAAUUAAAUGGCAAUAAUUGAGAAGGUUAUGGAUUAUGUCUCCAUUAAUUUUGGUUGACCUGAAAAUUCAAAAGGCGGUUGUAAUUUAUCGGCACUUUUUUCAUUUUAUGAUUUAUUUAUUUUUGGUGGGUAUUAUAGUGUUCAA